AAAAAAGUGGAGAUUUUUGAACAGAGAAGAUCGGCAGGCUCUAGAAGGAGAAAGGUAGGGUUUUUGGCAAAGGAAGAUGGAUUUUUGACGAUGUGGGUCUAGGGAUUGGACUUGACAGAUCUUCCGUGGCGGGUCAAAACUUGUAAACUCUGAAAACAACCACAGAAGCCGAGAGAGGAGGCGGUACGUCUCUAGGAAGAAGCACAC
rnacentral:misc_RNA from 1 species